rnacentral:rRNA from 1 species
GUCCACGCCGUAAACGAUGAGUGCUAGAUGUCGAGGGUAUUGACCCCCGCGGCGUCGUAGCUAACGCGUUAAGCACUCCGCCUGGGGAGUACGGCCGCAAGGCUAAAACUCAAAGGAAUUGACGGGGCCCGCACAAGCGGUGGAGCAUGUGGUUCAAUUCGACGCAACGCGCAAAACCUUACCUGGGUUAAAUCCACUAGAAUCCUGCAGAGAUGUGGGAGUGCUCUUCGGAGAAUUAGUGAGAAGGUGCUGCAUGGCUGUCGU